rnacentral:tRNA from 1 species
GGGCUGGGGCUCAGCGGUAGAGCACUUGCCUAGCAUGUGUGAGGUGCUGGGUUCGAUCCUCAGCACCACA